rnacentral:rRNA from 1 species
CCUACGGGGUGCAGCAGUGGGGAAUAUUGCACAAUGGGCGCAAGCCUGAUGCAGCCAUGCCGCGUGUAUGAAGAAGGCCUUCGGGUUGUAAAGUACUUUCAGCGGGGAGGAAGGUGUUGUGGUUAAUAACCGCAACAAUUGACGUUACCCACAGAAGAAGCACCGGCUAACUCCGUGCCAGCAGCCGCGGUAAUACGGAGGGUGCAAGCGUUAAUCGGAAUUACUGGGCGUAAAGCGCACGCAGGCGGUCUGUCAAGUCGGAUGUGAAAUCCCCGGGCUCGACCAGGGAACUGCAUUCGAAACUGGCAGGCUAGAGUCUUGUAGAGGGGGGUAGUAUUCCAGGUGUAGCGGUGAAAUGCGUAGAGAUCUGGAGGAAUACCGGUGGCGAAGGCGGCCCCCUGGACAAAGACUGACGCUCAGGUGCGAAAGCGUGGGGAGCAAACAGGAUUAGAUACCCUUGUAGUC